AGGGGAGACCACAGAAGAAAUAAAUAUAAAUAUGUUAAAUCCUAAGGUCGUCAUGGCAAAUUGAUUCAGAUUCUGAGACAGAAAUAGAUUUCUCCCUUUCCAGUGCUCUUAGCAGCAUCUACACCCCUGUAUUUUUCUCUCCUUCAACUUCCCAAGCCUCGUUCUUGCCACGAUCACGCCAGGACAACAGCUUCAAUCUACUGCUAAUAGAAUAAUGUCAAACAAAUUUUCUGAUUGCUGGGUAUUGUUUCUCCUGGAAUACAAUGGUAUUUCUCUGAGAGCAUGAAAGUAGGUCACUGCAGCACAGGAAGGGCCUUGUACAGCAGAAAACAACCACACAGCCACUGGGGAUGGAGCUGCAUGAGGAAUGCAGAGUCAUGCCGUGGUUUUGAAGCUGCCUUUGCAUGAGCAACGCGGUUCAGCAGAUCCCAGCUCUGGAGACUGAAAAGUCAUCCAUAAAGAUGCUGUGUGGGCAUUUCUGCAG